GUCGAUGUGGCGGAAUCGGUAUACGCGCACGAUUGAGGGGCGUGUGGAGAAAUCCUGGGGGGUUCAAGUCCCCCCAUCGACACCA
rnacentral:tRNA from 1 species